CAAGCGGUGGAGCAUGUGGUUUAAUUCGAUGCAACGCGAAGGACCUUACCUACUCUUGACAUCCAGCGAACUUAGCAGAGAUGCCUUGGUGCCUUCGGGAACGCUGAGACAGGUGCUGCAUGGCUGUCGUCAGCUCGUGUUGUGAAAUGUUGGGUUAAGUCCCGCAACGAGCGCAACCCUUAUCCUUUGUUGCCAGCGAUACGGUCGGGGACUCAAAGGAGACUGCCGGUGAUAAACCGGAGGAAGGUGGGGAUGACGUCAAGUCAUCAUGGCCCUUACGAGUAGGGCUACACACGUGCUACAAUGGCGCAUACAAAGAGAAGCGACCUCGCGAGAGCAAGCGGACCUCAGAAAGUGCGUCGUAGUCCGGAUCGGAGUCUGCAACUCGACUCCGUGAAGUCGGAAUCGCUAGUAAUCGUGGAUCAGAAUGCCACGGUGAAUACGUUCCCGGGCCUUGUACACACC
rnacentral:rRNA from 1 species